UACGGAGGGGGCUAGCGUUGUUCGGAAUUACUGGGCGUAAAGCGCACGUAGGCGGCUUUGCAAGUUAGAGGUGAAAGCCCGGGGCUCAACUCCGGAAUUGCCUUUAAAACUGCAUCGCUAGAAUUGUGGAGAGGUAAGUGGAAUUCCCGGUGUAGAGGUGAAAUUCGUAGAUAUCGGGAGGAACACCAGUGGCGAAGGCGGCGACCUGGGCAGAUACUGACACUGAGGUGCGAAAGCGUGGGGAGCAAACAGG
rnacentral:rRNA from 1 species